UACGAAGGGUGCAAACGUUGCUCGGAAUCAUUGGGCGUAAAGCGCACGUAGGCGGCUUUGCAAGUCUGACGUGAAAUCCCUCAGCUCAACUGAGGAAGUGCAUCGGAAACUGCAAGGCUUGAGUACUGAAGAGGAUCGCGGAAUUCCCGGUGUAGAGGUGAAAUUCGUAGAUAUCGGGAGGAACACCAGUGGCGAAGGCGGCGAUC
rnacentral:rRNA from 1 species